GGAAUAUUGCACAAUGGGCGAAAGCCUGAUGCAGCGACGCCGCGUGAGGGAUGACGGCCUUCGGGUUGUAAACCUCUUUCAGUAGGGAAGAAGCGAAAGUGACGGUACCUGCAGAAGAAGCGCCGGCUAACUACGUGCCAGCAGCCGCGGUAAUACGUAGGGCGCAAGCGUUAUCCGGAAUUAUUGGGCGUAAAGAGCUCGUAGGCGGUUUGUCGCGUCUGCCGUGAAAGUCCGAGGCUCAACUUCGGAUCUGCGGUGGGUACGGGCAGACUAGAGUGAUGUAGGGGAGACUGGAAUUCCUGGUGUAGCGGUGAAAUGCGCAGAUAUCAGGAGGAACACCGAUGGCGAAGGCAGGUCUCUGGGCAUCUACUGACGCUGAGGAGCGAAAGCAUGGGGAGCGAACAGGAUUAGAUACCCCAG
rnacentral:rRNA from 1 species